UUGGCCCGUGAGGCCUAUACUCUGGUAUCAAAAGAAAGCUUCUUAAAUUUUAAUAAGAAGAGUACUCUGAAAAAAGUCGAAAAUAUAAUCGGAAGUGGUGCAAAGUUAGCAUUUUCAUGCUGGCACCUUUUUGAGUGUAGCGCGCCGUUAGCGUGGUCACGUGACAGAAAUAUGGCCGCCGUGCAUGACAACACAUGGAACUAACCGCAACAGUGCUACUAUGUACGCAAACCAUCGUUCGAAGUUAUAAAUCGUGAUAGAACGUUCAUCUUUCCUAUUAAUUACAAGAUAAUUAAUUUAUCUCGUGUUCAACAGACGGUAAAAACAAAAGGAAUGCUGGCAUACGAAGCAUUAUGUGUUAUAUUAUAAUACGCUGGCGAAUGGCGAAGCUUGGUCCUCGCCAAAUUUUCUGAAAAGACGUGUGUGAAAGAGACGCAGAGCAUAUUUGGCAAAUUUCUGCUGCCAGUUGAGUGUGCCGCAUGAAACACAGAUCAAAAAAAACCGUAGAAAAGCGGAUGACAUGCUUCGCCACCAGUUACAAGAAGAAGAAAGGAGGGUGAGUGAAGGAGCAGAGAGUGUUUGUGGAAUUUCUGAUGCCAGUGCCUUUUGCCACAUGAAAAGAGAUCAACAGAAAGUGUCGAAAAGUGGAUGACAUGCUUCGCCACCAGUUACUAGAAGAAGGAAGGAGGGUGAGUGAAGGAGCAGAGAGUGUUUGUGGAAUUUCUGAUGCCAGUGCCUUUUGCCACAUGAAAAGAGAUCAACAGAAAGUGUCGAAAAGUGGAUGACAUGCUUCGCCACCAGUUACUAGAAGAAGGAAGGAGUUGAGCAAGGCAGGGUUUCAGUUAUCAUGUACUGUUCUAAUUUUUCAGGGGUGAGUGAAGGAGCAGAGAGUGUUUGUGGAAUUUCUGAUGCCAGUGCCUUUUGCCACAUGAAAAGAGAUCAACAGAAAGUGUCGAAAAGUGGAUGACAUGCUUCGCCACCAGUUACUAGAAGAAGGAAGGAGUUGAGCAAGGCAGGGUUUCAGUUAUCAUGUACUGUUCUAAUUUUUCAGGGGUGAGUGAAGGAGCAGAGAGUGUUUGUGGAAUUUCUGAUGCCAGUGCCUUUUGCCACAUGAAAAGAGAUCAACAGAAAGUGUCGAAAAGUGGAUGACAUGCUUCGCCACCAGUUACUAGAAGAAAGGAGUUGAGCAAGGCAGGGUUUCAGUUAUCAUGUACUGUUCUAAUUUUUCAGGGGUGAGUGAAGGAGCAGAGAGUGUUUGUGGAAUUUCUGAUGCCAGUGCCUUUUGCCACAUGAAAAGAGAUCAACAGAAAGUGUCGAAAAGUGGAUGACAUGCUUCGCCACCAGUUACUAGAAGAAGGAAGGAGUUGAGCAAGGCAGGGUUUCAGUUAUCAUGUACUGUUCUAAUUUUUCAGGGGUGAGUGAAGGAGCAGAGAGUGUUUGUGGAAUUUCUGAUGCCAGUGCCUUUUGCCACAUGAAAAGAGAUCAACAGAAAGUGUCGAAAAGUGGAUGACAUGCUUCGCCACCAGUUACUAGAAGAAGGAAGGAGUUGAGCAAGGCAGGGUUUCAGUUAUCAUGUACUGUUCUAAUUUUUCAGGGGUGAGUGAAGGAGCAGAGAGUGUUUGUGGAAUUUCUGAUGCCAGUGCCUUUUGCCACAUGAAAAGAGAUCAACAGAAAGUGUCGAAAAGUGGAUGACAUGCUUCGCCUGCUGUGGCCACCAGUUACUAGAGGGGUGAGUGAAGGAGCAGAGAGUGUUUGUGGAAUUUCUGAUGCCAGUGCCUUUUGCCACAUGAAAAGAGAUCAACAGAAAGUGUCGAAAAGUGGAUGACAUGCUUCGCCACCAGUUACUAGAAGAAAGGAGUUGAGCAAGGCAGGGUUUCAGUUAUCAUGUACUGUUCUAAUUUUUCAGGGGUGAGUGAAGGAGCAGAGAGUGUUUGUGGAAUUUUUGAUGCCAGUGCCUUUUGCCACAUGAAAAGAGAUCAACAGAAAG